rnacentral:ncRNA from 1 species
AAGCAUAUUAAUAAGCGGAGGAAAAGAAACUAACAAGGAUUCCCCUAGUAAUGGCGAAUGAAGCGGGAACAGCUCAAAUUUAAAAUCUCCGUUGCUUGCAACGGCGAAUUGUAGUUUCGAGAAGCACUUUCUCGGCGGAUCCGAGGUCGUCCAAGUUGCUUGGAACAGCACGUCGUAGAGGGUGACAACCCCGUCUGCGGCGAUCUCGGCCGUUCACGAUGUGCUUUCGACGAGUCGGGUUGUUUGGGAAUGCAGCCCAAAAUGGGUGGUAAACUCCAUCUAAAGCUAAAUAUUGGCACGAGACCGAUAGCGAACAAGUACCGUGAGGGAAAGAUGAAAAGCACUUUGAAAAGAGAGUUAAAAAGUACGUGAAACCGUUAAAAGGGAAACGAAUGGGGUUAGCAAUGCGUCGUGCGAGAUUCAGCCGGUGGGUGGGCCAGGCGGGCGGUUGGCGGAUCUGAAUGGACCGCUGCCGUUCGGGUUGGUUUCCCGACCGUCGCACUUCUCGCAGGCGCGCGCCAACGUCGGUUAGGGCUGGGUCUCAAAGGCGGUGGGAAAGGUAGGUUUGGACUCUCGGGCCCGAACUGUUACAGUCCUCCGUUCGUCAUGGCCCGGACCUGACCGAGGAGCUUGCGGUGCAUGCCCUUCGGCUAGGGUCCCGUCUUCCCGGUCGGUCGUCGAAUGCGGUGGACUGCGUGCAGUGCGCCGCGACUGCUGNCGGUCGCGAGGGCGGUGAUUUCGUACUAUGCACCCACGACGUUGGCGGUCAUAUGGCCUCAUCCGACCCGUCUUGAAACACGGACCAAGGAGUCUAACAUGUGUGCGAGUCUUUGAGUGAUCGAAACUCCGAGGCGUAAUGAAAGUGAAGGCGACUCCGGUCGCUGAGGUGAGAGCCUUUUUCCAAAAAAAAAAGAGCGCAUCAUCGACCGACCUAUUCUACUCUUAGAAAGGUUUGAGUAAGAGCGCAUCUGUUGGGACCCGAAAGAUGGUGAACUAUGCCUGAAUAGGGUGAAGCCAGAGGAAACUCUGGUGGAGGCUCGUAGCGAUUCUGACGUGCAAAUCGAUCGUCAAAUUUGGGUAUAGGGGCGAAAGACUAAUCGAACUGUCUAGUAGCUGGUUCCCUCCGAAGUUUCCCUCAGGAUAGCUGGAACUUACGGCAGUUUUAUCAGGUAAAGCGAAUGAUUAGAGGUCUUAGGGUUAAAACA